CGCUGGCGGCAGGCUAACACACUGCAGUCGAACGGUAACAGGAUAGCUUGCUAUCGCUGACGAGUGGCGGACGGGUGAGUAAUACUUAGGGAUCUGCCUCUGUGUGGGGGAUAACUAUUGGAAACGAUAGCUAAUACCGCAUAAUGUCUACGGACCAAAGCGGGCUUCGGCUCGUGCGCCGAGAGGAACCUAAGCGAGAUUAGCUAGUUGGUGAGGUAAAGGCUCACCAAGGCGACGAUCUCUAGCUGUUCUGAGAGGAAGAUCAGCCACACUGGAACUGAGACACGGUCCAGACUCCUACGGGAGGCAGCAGUGGGGAAUAUUGCACAAUGAGGGAAACCCUGAUGCAGCCAUGCCGCGUGUGUGAACGAAGGCCUUCGGGUUGUAAAGCACUUUCAGUUGUGAGGAAAGUUUAGUAGUUAAUACCUGCUAGAUGUGACGUUAGCAACAGAAGAAGCACCGGCUAACUCCGUGCCAGCAGCCGCGGUAAUACGGAGGGUGCGAGCGUUAAUCGGAAUUACUGGGCGUAAAGCGCACGCAGGCGGUCUGUUAAGCUAGAUGUGAAAGCCCCGCGCUCAACGUGGGAGGGUCAUUUAGAACUGGCAGACUAGAGU
rnacentral:rRNA from 1 species